rnacentral:rRNA from 1 species
CCCCACUGCUAUCGGGAUAGGACUAAGACAUGCUAGUCGAGUGACUCAGGCAAAACGAGUCACGGCACACAGCUCAGUAACACGUGGCUAAUCUGCCCUUGGGACAAGAACAACCCCGGGAAACUGGGGCUAACUCUUGAUAGGCGAAGAACACUGGAAUGUGUCUUCACCCAAAAAACUUCACGUUAUCCUCGUGAAGUCGCCCAAGGAUGAGGCCGCGACCGAUCAGGUUGUUGGCGAGGUAAUGGCUCACCAAGCCUUUUACCGGUGCGGGCCGUGGGAGCGGGAGCCCGGAGAUGGGUACUGAGACAAGGACCCAGGCCCUACGGGGCGCAGCAGUCGCGAAAACUUUGCAAUAAGCGAAAGCUUGACAGGGCUAUCCCGAGUGCCAUCCGCUGAGGAAGGCUUUUACCCAGUCUAGAACGCUGGGGGAAUAAGGAGAGGGCAAGUCUGGUGUCAGCCGCCGCGGUAAUACCAGCUCUCCGAGUGGUGUGGAUGUUUAUUGGGCCUAAAGCAUCCGUAGCUGGCUAAGUUAGUCCCUUGUUAAAUCCACCGAAUUAAUCGUUGGAUUGCGGGGGAUACUGCUUGGCUAGGGGACGAGAGAGGCGGACGGUAUUUUCGGGGUAGGGGUGAAAUCCUAUAAUCCCGGGAAGACCACCAGUGGCGAAGGCUGUCUGCUAGAACGCGCCCGACGGUGAGGGAUGAAAGCUGGGGGAGCGAACCGGAUUAGAUACCCGGGUAGUCCCAGCUGUAAACGAUGCAGGCUAGGUGUUUGGACGGCCACGUGCCGUUCUAGUGCCGCAGGGAAGCUGUUAAGCCUGCCGCCUGGGGAGUACGAUCGCAAGAUUGAAACUUAA